ensembl:lncRNA
GGGGAGGGGGGGGGGGGGGGGCAUGUGGUAAAGGCAAAAACUCCCAUCUGCAUUGUGUCGAUGGUGUCAAUCAUCCUCGCAAUCUUACUGGCACUCAAACUACUGCAGAUUUAACCGAGCAGUUAAAACGCACGUAGCACGUUAGCACGUUAGCAAAGAGGAGGGCUCAGAAUGGACACAUGAACCACAUUGCUCGGCUCAGGAACUAUGCGUUUCUUGGUUCCUCGCUGUCAUUUCCAUUUGCUCAAGUCACUUGUGGUGAAAGUCAGAAGCCUCCCCCCCCCCCGAGUUGAUUGGAGGGUUGCUCAGAUCACCUGCUGUGACGGCGGGGCGGUCGGCUCCAUGAAGAAGUGAGAGGAGCUCUGAGCGCUUCCCCUCUCGGCCAAUCAGUUCGGUGCUGACGAGAGGUGAGGGAUUGCACACCCGGGGCGCUCAUGGUUCUUUCUUGACUUAAUGUAGACCUCGUUUUAGCAUAUUCAUCCUGAAGCUCUGGUCUUUAAGCCCUUUAGAGGCUCGGAUUGAGGUCGAUUCUGACCAUUCUGACCCACAGUUUGAGUGAAUAUUAAUGAAACCUCUCCACUUGCUCUCAGCUGCAUCAGGACAGAUGUUGGUGCUAUUUAUGCUCACCUAAUGACCACAGGCUUAAUCUUGUGUGUUCUGUUGGAAACCCACUUUGUACGCAUUAUUAUUUUAUUCCAAUGAAACAGGCUUAUGUAACACAUGCAGUGUUUCUCCAACUUAAUAUUCCUCUAUUUUGUUACUAGGGAUCAAUCUGCAAACCAGUUCCCCAAUCAGCUGGAAUGUGGAGAAUCAAUUCAACCAUUUUUUUUUAAUAAAUGAUGAAUUUUCUUAUUUAUUUUGUUUUGAAACUUUGCCAGGAUUAACUAGUAGCCCUAUUAAAAAGAAUUUCACAGCUAGAGGCCACGCAAACUAUGAAGGCAAUCCAUCCAUUGGUUGUCCAGACACUUCAGGAUGGGCUCGUAGUGAUGCAAGAGGAGAGUGUUGAACCGACUAGCUUCUUCCAACAGAGCCGCACCGUUUGCAUCGCUAUUUGGUUUAUGAUUAAUCGUUUCGCUUGUAAAUGUACAUAUAUAUAUAAAAUAUAAAAAUGUACAUUGCAUUGCAACUCCAGAGCAUUGAAGAUGGAUCUUCAACGCUGAAAAUCCCACUUUGGUAAAAUGUGUUUGAACCUCCAGCCCACACACACCGCCGGUCCAACCUUCAUUCAUCGCUGAUUUUUUAAUAUUGGGACACGAAGACGAGAGGCCGAGCGGCAUCACCCCCAUUUUCUCUCCCUCCCUCUACCGCGCGGUCUCACACAGGGAUGUACACCAGAGUCAGAAGGACGGCCUCAUCCACCCCGUUGCCCUCGGCAGCGCGGGUGGUACGGUGGCAAUAGGACCGGCGUUAAGGGCAAACUCUCCGCCUCUUGCCAACUGUGAGCACGUUGGAGGCGAAAACAGAGCGUGCUGCUCGUGACGGGAGACGAUGCUGAGGGAGGCACGGAAGAAGCUGCGAGCCUCGGAUUAAGUGAACAUCUGUUUGUUGUGUAGAUGUUUUUCUGGAAACAACAGAAGUAGAACACCGCUGUUGGAGUACGGUCUUACUCGUCAAACAGAAUUUUUACAGGACUGCAGGCAUUCAAACAUCAUGCAUGGGAUUAUUAUUUUUGCCAAUAAUUUGACUGCUUCUAAAGGAAGUACGAUUACGUUUUGAAUGAAGCAUUUCACCUUCAUUAAAUGCCUCAGUCAUCCGUCACUGUCCCUCAUACUUAUCCAUGCAUUGUUGUUAUGAAAGCAGUCAAAUUACGCUUCAAAGAAAAGCCUCAAUAUGAGGCGAGUAAGAUCCGAGUCAGCGUCUCAUCAUCUGGAUUGGUACCGAUCGCCCUCCUUUAAGUAUGACGAUUCAUUGUCGGUCGUGCUACUGCAGCAUAAAAAUCCAACUGUCAGGUGUGUGUGUUUGGUCUCUGAGGAAUGAAUCUAACAGGAAAUGCUGGUUUGCGCGUGUUAAAGUAGCUCAACGUGAGCAGGGUGGACAUGCAUUUUGAAACUGGUCCACUUCUUAAAUGAUUUGAAAGGCCGGCAUGUCUCCGUUAUGAAUAAUGCAAUAGCCUUUUAUAUCAACGCUCUGACUUUUACUGAGCUUCUGCUGGGAGCGUGAGCCUAAAAUCCUCCGGAUUGGCCACAGCAUGCAAGAAGGGAUUUCCAUCCGAUCUGACGAGGGGAUCACUUGUGUGUGGGCGUUCUGGUAAUUGUUUCUGAAGCCGCCGUGAAGCUCGAGGUUGCCGGACGGAAGUCGUCUUGGCCGUCACAACGCCCAACUGGAAACGAUGAACCUGUCACUCAAAGCUCUUUAGGCAUGAAAAACAAACAACAUUAGUUUUACUGACGAGAGGAAACAUACAAGAGCCUGUUAUUGCUGCGUAAUUCCGUUCAUUCACUCUCCUCUAAGUCUAAAAAUGUGCUGGUUUACAUUCACACAGUGACGGUAUCAUUUGAGAGCCGUAUCACAUGCAGCUUCCAGAGUUUACGGGGAGUAAUCCGUGGAUGUCGAGGGCGUGGACGUGAAGAGGAUGACCUUGUCGGAUGCCACGGGGACGGCGUGAUGGACGGCAGUUUGUCUCUGACAGCUGCCUCCCCCAAAAACCCGGCAGCUGCAGCAGCAAAAAAAAUGUCUCUCCCAGAUUGCAACGAGAGAUGUCCCGGCGUAUUUCAUCAUCGUGAAGGGUGUUUUGGGAGACGCGAGGGGACGACCCACAAGUUGUCGACGCGGACCGGUCACAACGCGCGUCACUCGAAACCGGCGUGCUUUGGCGUUACGACAAGCCGAAGACAAAUCACAGCUACCGCAUGGAAGGGCGGCUCAUGGCGGCCCACGUCUGCCACGUCUGAGGCCAGAGAGCAAGCUGUGUCUCAACCAAGCCGUGCAUCAUGAGCUAUGUGCAGAUUUAUGCAUGUCAAGCGCUAAAUAAGAGGUCCCCCCCCCGCGUUCGGAGCGGACCAAUCCUCGGCUUUUGCAGGGUUUUCCGAAAUAGUCACAACGGUCACAAGUUCAUGACGGCAGAUCACCAUUUUUUGCCGGCUCUCUCAAACAUCUCAGCAUGUUAUCUCCACAGCUGCACACCACGCAUCAAACACUAAUGCGUCCCUGGCACAGGCCUCCGAGGUCAAGAGGUCCAGCUGAGAGACGGCUAGGAAUGAUGACAUCGUUAGCUCGGUGCCACUCGGCAGCGAGGGGGCACAUGCCGGCGUGGCACCGCAGGGUGGCGCGCCAGAAAUAACACCGCUGCAUGCGCUCCGCAUCUCGCACUCCGCCUUCACCUCUGGUCCGGCCGGAGGUGAAGGCGGAGAGCUUUUGCGGUUGGCUUUGUCCAACGGGGACGUUUGAAUUCGGUGGACUCAUGAAGUCUGUGCUUCUGUUUGAAAAGUGUAGCACAAAGGGAGACGAAAUUAGACGGGGCCCUCGGACGGAAUGCAUCAUUUCAGAAAGAAUUCGAGAAAACCAAUGAAAGAGAUGGAAACGCACAGAUGAGGACCGCUUUAAUUGAAGGCGGAGAUAGUUGCCAAGGAGAUAAGUCCUCUGAGCGUGAGGUGUGACUUCUGCGUCACUGCCUGUUGUUUAUUCAUUAAGCAUCCCUCCCUCCUCUCCUCCAAUGAAUCCCUUCGUUCCAUCACGUUUCAGCCCCACACACACACACACACACACACACACACACACACACACCCUACGUCACCAAGGAGACGUAGGUGGGGGCCUCUCCUGUUUUGUUUUGUUUUUCAUCCUUUUUUUUCAAUAUCACCGUCAAUGUCACUGACGAGUGGAGGAGAAUAUUUCUGACUGUCACCUAAGACGUGUCCCUCUGGUUCAGAGCCAGUCAGCAAGAGAACGGACCUCUUCUGUCAGCACAUGCCACCGAACACACACACACACACACACACACACACACACACACACACACUGGAGGAGAGUGAGGACCUUUCAGCUCUGUGUGGCAUGUCACCGUUUCCCUAAAUCAGCCAAGGAAGACGAAUUUCACGCCAACGGCAGAAUUCGGAGUGACAUUUAGGGACUCCACUUCAAUUAAUAAAAGGGAUCUGCACGCACACGCAUGAAUACGUGCUCUGCUGCGUCCUCCCCCGCUGUCCUGAGCUGCAGAGUUACCCAACAAAGGACACAAGCUCAUUUGACCCCUAGUCCAGCGAUUGUAUCCAUGAAAAUUCAAUUAUUUUUAAAUAAUGGGCAAAUGCUAACAAAAGGAAAACCGGCACAUCUAUUAAUAGAUUCACAUCUACUAGUCAAGAUUUGCCACUGGGGCAGUAACACUCAUUUUAAUAAGGCAAACCAAGUUUCAAAUGUUGACAUGACAUCCUGUGACAUCAGUGAAAGACACUGAACUUUUGGUUUAACGGCGAACAUGAACACUGUCUCGUGAGUUCCUCCCUCUUCUCACUGCAUCCGCUGCUCUCAGCUGUCGGAACGACGGGUUUGUGUUGGAGUUCGUUAACGCAUUAACACGUUAAGCUUCACAAUAAAUGCAUUUUACCAAAAGGACACAAAGUUCAGUUAUAUGAGACGUGUUGAGAAUUCUAUCCAGAAUCAGAUUUACUCCUUUUUAACAAAGCCUCACAGAGGGAGAUCUUAAUAAUGUCAAAAGAUUUAGGGACUUGACAUUCAGUAUUGAUACGUUUUCAGGAGAGAAAAAGCCUGUUGAUGUCCUUGGACGUUUAUGUCCAAGCUCCAAGUCCACCUCAAGACAUUACGUCUUCCAAGGACGUAGACGGAACAAAGGAGACGGGAGGGCCGGGGACGCGGCAGAGAGCCUCAUUAAGAGAUAACUCGGUGAACUGCACACUGGACGGGGCGCGUCUGACCCCUGCUGCUCCCUCCUCUGAAAGCAUCUCAUCAUCUCAUCUCAACCCCCGACCAAGAAAGAGCUUUAGUUAAGAGAGACAAAUGUCCCCAUCAAUUCUCCUCCAAUCUAAUGGAUGUCUCCGAGGGAGCCACGGCAAGGACUUCUGCAAUCACUCACGCCUCCCUUAUCAUUCACAACACCUUCCUGCCUGGCAAAUGUCAGCACGGCAUUGCCUGAACACACCCUACAGUGUGUGUGUGUGUGUGUGUGUGUGUGUGUGUGUGUACAUCUGAUCAUGAGAUGGAUUGAAGAGGCGAUUUGGAGGCUGCAGGACUCCGAGGGUAGAGAGGACGGUUACCGUGAAACGUCUCCCUCUGCCCGUGGUAGUCAAAGCAAUUCAAUCCAUCAUCCUCCUCGUCCCUCCCCCCCGCCCCCCUCCCCCUUCACUCGGGUGUCACUGUGCCCUCGAGAGUGGGAUGGAUGGACUCCGCUUACUGUUUAUCACUACUCCAUGAAAGACGCAGUCCUGAGGGCGAGACGCCUUGAAGGCUUGAAGCACCGGCCGGACGGGGCUCAGCACAGCAGCGCGCUUCAGAAAUUGCAGCUGGACGUCGAUGAGCCCGUUGCCUCGAACCAAAGCAAAGUGGGGGUUUUUUUGGUUCCGUAAGGAGACCCGGCUCGGAAGUAUCUACUCCAACUAUCGUCAUCUAGUGCUCACGAGACGAGACGCAUCAAUCGUCGGCCGCAUUCAUCGGUUCAUGGUGAAUGCGGUACGUCUUCGUACAAACGCUGCCUGUGUGCUGUCACGUGCGAGGCCUUCACUAACAUCCUGCAUGAACAUCACCACGUGGCGUCACGCAUCCGGGGUCCUUCCCUUCCAGAUGGGACGCUGUGACUGCCACGUUAACGAUGCCCUUCAAUCAAUCGCUUGAGGAAGUGGGAUUCCAGGUGAGCCGCGGGACCGCACGCGCCUCGCUGGGUCUCAGAGGAGAAGACGGUUGGCCGAUGACCUCUGCCCCUCCCACCCCCCCCCUCUGCUUUUCACUGACGUCCCGUUUGCACGUCGAUGAGAAGAGAAGAGACCUUGGAGGGGAAUUCGUCCUCUGGAAUUGUGACACGAGGCGAUCGCUUGCCAAACACUGCCCCCUGCUGGUCAAACUGUGCAACACGAUGUCCGUCGUUAAUGCAAGUAUUUACCCUGUAAUUUAAUUUUACCAAAUUGAGUAAAUAUUCUCCUCAAAUGCAAAAUACAAUUUUUUUUGGAAACAACAUGGAAACUUAUUUCAGUGUCACGGUUCCAAAGGAUGAGUUGAAAUCAAGCGGAGCUAAUCAAACGUUGCCACUGCUGCUCUCACUGAACAACCAGAGACAGAAAUGUGUGAGUUUGAUUUCACAGCUUCAUCCUGAAAACCUGACUUUAUUUAAAUAGCCGCGGAGCCUUUAGAAAACAUUACUCUCUUUUCAAGUGUCUGUUCUAUUCUCAGCAUUUUAGUUUGAUUGUGAUUUAAUGUGCACAUUACAUUGGAAUUGGAGCGGAGGGCUUUUUCGUUGGAUGCAAUGUGCAACCUCACCACUAGAUUCCACUGGAUCCUUCACACUUCUCCUUUUACAUGUAACCUCCUGCUGCAGCAUCCUUCAACGGCAGCGUGUUUUCUUUUCUACGUGAAAGACAUUUUUGUUACUUCUCCUUCUAACUGACCUUUUUAACAGUGAAAAUGAAAUUGAAUCAGAUCCAUCCAACGUUUUGUCCCCUACGAAUCCAUCAAUCCGUGCGAGCGCAUUCGGUGUGGCACGUGACGUCUUUCCUCUGACCUCCUCGCCCUUCAGGGCCUUGGAGGUGUCGGAAGCAGCAGCUGGUUUUUCUCGUGUAAUCGUGGAUGAAAACCUGUCGACCCCCAAGUCUCCGUGACGCAUGGAGAGGAACAGCUGCAGCACACGGAGGAGUGAAAUGUACCUCUACUUUAUUCUCCUUAUAGCAAUAAUAUUUGCCUGAUGUUUGUCUUAUGCCUCGCAGGGUAAUCAAACCCCCACAGAAAAUAAAAGAAAAUGGGUUUUGCCUCAUCUUCUCUUUAGAGAAUGAUACUUUAGAUUCUACCCGCUGGGGUAUUUAUGAGCACAUGGAGGGGUUUUUGUCCUGUAUAAUCUGGAAACGUCAGUAUACAUAUUGUAUAUGUAUAUAUAUCUGUUCACUUUAUUAUAUUAUGUUACAGUGUUAAUACUGAGGAUUCUUUUAUGAAUGGGUUCAUUACAUACACUCAAGUUCUGGGCUUAGAUACUAUUUUAAAAUAUGUUGACCAGUGAAGUACUUCACUUUUAGUAGUAUUGUCAAUAUAUUUUAAAUCUAUUUUUUUACUUCACUAAGACAUACAUAUUUUAUUUAUUAUAAUAUAAAUCUAAUAAUAAUAAUAAUAUAAUUUAUAUUAUAAUAAAUAAUAUAAAUAAUGAUAGAUGAUAUUUAAAUGCAUGGUAAAGCAUAUGGUGAUGCUGUAUAUUUGCCACUAGGUGGCGAUCACAAUCUGUCGGAGACCAAUCAACUUGUGUGCAAAACGACUGGCCGUGUUUGAAUACUCAAUCUAGAGCAGUGGUCCCCAAACUAAGACCCGCGGGCCGGAUACGGCCCGCCUACCACAUUUGGCCCGGCCCCCUGAACAAUACCAGAGACGCAUUAUGAUUUUUUCAGUCUGGCCACGCAAAUCCUAGACUAUCCCCUGUCAAAUAGAACGGAAUAAUGGAGACAUGGUUAAGAGAGAAAUGCAUUCAGAAUGCAGAAUAUUUAACAUGCAGCGGUCAAACAAUUAUUUUUUGUUCAUUGCAAAGAAAAGGCUGUUUGUCUCAUCUGUCAAGAGUCGGUGGCAGUAUUCAAAGAAUACAAUCUGCGCCGACACUAUGAAUCCCGUGACAGAGUAUGAUAACCCGAGAGGGUUAUUUGGUUAUUAUUUAUUUCAUUAAUAGUGUUAUUAUUUAUUUUCUGACUUUUUUUCUCUGAAGAUGCCCGGAAAGGGUUAUUAAUAUUUGGUUAUGGCUUUCUGGAAAACAAUCAAUGUUUGCAUUAAGGCCCCCAGCGAUUUUUCUGUUACAAACUGACCCCGGCCCCCACCAGAGAAGGGAAAAGUUAUCCGGCCCCCACAAGAAAAAGAUUGGGGACGCCUGAUCUAGAGUACAUUCAUCAUUCUAAACAAAAUGUAAUCAAUGAAACAAAAAGCAAAGACACAGAUUUACGUAGAGAUCCACCCGGAGGUGAAGUAGUUCCAACCAGCUUCAACAUUAAAGUGACGAACACAUUAAUGCAUCAAUAAUUAAAAUCCAAUAACAUAUAUUAUUCUGAAAGGGCAAACUCUGCCUGAAGAGUACUUUUGGUACUUGAAGUGUGUUAUUGCCACUUUGACAUCCAUGGAUGACUUCUCCCACCGCUGCAUUGAAGGGACACAUGAAGGGACCCGAUGCAUCGUACCGGCCUCCUGCCGCUGGACCCCCCCAAAAAAGCCAGUGAGCACAGAGGGACACGACGUGGCACAACGUGGGCUGAAGCUCAAGUGGAAGGGAAUUUAGAAGAGCAG